UACGGGGGGUGCAAGCGUUGCUCGGAAUCACUGGGCGUAAAGCGUCCGCAGGCGGCUUGAUAAGUCGGGUGUGAAAGCCCAGGGCUCAACCCUGGAACUGCAUCCGAAACUGGCAGGCUAGAGUACUAAAGAGGGUCGCGGAAUUCCCGGUGUAGAGGUGAAAUUCGUAGAUAUCGGGAGGAACACCGGUGGCGAAGGCGGCGACCUGGGUAGAUACUGACGCUGAGGUGCGAAAGCGUGGGGAGCAAACAGG
rnacentral:rRNA from 1 species